AGAGUUUGAUCCUGGCUCAGGAUGAACGCUAGCGGCAGGCUUAACACAUGCAAGUCGAGGGGCAGCAUACUCUUCGGACUGAUGGCGACCGGCAAACGGGUGCGGAACACGAACACAACCUACCCUAAACUGGGGCAUAGCCCGGUGAAAACCGGAUUAACUCCCCAUAGUAUUGAUUAAGGGCCUCACUAGUCAAUUAAAAAUUUAUUGGUUUAGGAUGGGGGUGCGUCCUAUUAUCUAGUUGGCGGGGAAAAGGCCCACCAAGGAGACGAUAGGUAGCUGAUGUGAGAGCAUGAUCAGCCCCACAGUCCCUGAGACACGGGCCCGACUCCUACGGGAGGCAGCAGUGAGGAAUAUUGGUCAAUGGGCGAGAGCCUGAACCAGCCAUGCCGCGUGAAGGAUGAAGGCGUUCUGCGUUGUAAACUUCUUUUAUUAGGGAAGAAACCUGAGAUUUUUAUUUCAGCCGACGGUACCUAAUGAAUAAGCACCGGCUAACUCCGUGACAGCAGGCGCGGUAAUACGGAGGGUGCAAGCGUUAUCCGGAUUUACUGGGUUUAAAGGGUGUGUAGGCGGACUAUUAAGUCAGGGGUGAAAUCCCGGGGCUCAACCCCGGAACUGCCUUUGAUACUAUUAGUCUUGAAU
rnacentral:rRNA from 1 species